GACGAACGCUGGCGGCGUGCUUAACACAUGCAAGUCGAACGGUGAAACCUAGCUUGCUAGGUCGAUUAGUGGCGAACGGGUGAGUAACACGUGACUAACCUGCCCCUUUCUCUGGGAUAACGCUCCGAAAGGAGUGCUAAUACCGGAUACUCACAUCGAGGCACAUGCCUUGGUGUGGAAAGUUUUUCGGAAAGGGAUGGAGUCGCGGCCUAUCAGCUUGUUGGUGAGGUAACGGCUCACCAAGGCGACGACGGGUAGCCGGCCUGAGAGGGCGGCCGGCCACACUGGGACUGAGACACGGCCCAGACUCCUACGGGAGGCAGCAGUGGGGAAUAUUGCACAAUGGGCGCAUGCCUGAUGCAGCGACGCCGCGUGAGGGAUGAAGGUCUUCGGAUUGUAAACCUCUUUCAGUAGGGACGAAGCGAAAGUGACGGUACCUAAAGAAGAAGCACCGGCUAACUACGUGCCAGCCGCCGCAGUAA
rnacentral:rRNA from 1 species